GUCUGUCAAUGUGUCAGGUAAUUGAUCAAAAAGAUUUGGUAAAUAGCAUGAUAUGGUCAGCUCAGCUAUAUGAAAACACGUAACAAAAUCUAUAAUUUAGGAACAUCGAUCAUAUCGGCUAAAAUAAGACUGAAAGCCGAUUGGGAGAUCUUUGGACCAAGUAAUUAUUGGCAACGUACAGCGCUUUAUCCACUAUUGAAUAAGUGAAUCAGAGACUCUAAUUUGUUGCCUUUACCAAAUCAAAAUACAUAUACUAAUGGGAAUAAGUUGAGAGAAACAUGUAAGGGCUUUUGAAUGCACAUGGAACUAUCAAAACUAGUCCAAGUACCAGAAUAUCGCCAUAUCUAUCUCGGCAACGUACAGCGCUUUAUCCACUAUUGACAUAAGUGAAUCAGAGACUCUAAUUUGUUGC
rnacentral:lncRNA from 1 species